rnacentral:rRNA from 1 species
UACGUAGGGUGCAAGCGUUAAUCGGAAUUACUGGGCGUAAAGCGUGCGCAGGCGGUUGUGCAAGACAGAUGUGAAAUCCCCGGGCUUAACCUGGGAACUGCAUUUGUGACUGCAAGGCUUGAGUGUGUCAGAGGGAGGUGGAAUUCCGCGUGUAGCAGUGAAAUGCGUAGAUAUGCGGAGGAACACCGAUGGCGAAGGCAGCCUCCUGGGAUAACACUGACGCUCAUGCACGAAAGCGUGGGGAGCAAACAGG